CAGCAGCGUGCAUCCACCCACUACACUUACAGUAUUUCACAGGGGUUAAAUACUAGAUGUUAUUGUACUCCACUCCAACAUAAGUAGAUAUAUUGUGUCGCUGCUGCUAGAAUAAGGAAGUGUCAAGAGUGCAGGGUACCCCAUGUUCUAGCAGCAGCCAGGAUGUGCUCAAGUGCACGUAGCACUGGCACCGCCAGAAUCAAUGGCUUACCGCAUUAAAGCUCGGUUUCGUAAGACAAAGGCGUGUGUGACAAAUCUAUCGUAGAUAAUUUUGCAAACAACCAUGCAUCCCGGGGACUAAUGAGUUAAUAACCAGCACUCAUUAAUGUUGUAAUUAUUGUGCGAGAAAUAGGAAGGCGAAUGGAGGGCCAGAUGAAAUUAAUGUUCCUCGUUAGCCAACGGCUAUUAAGCGAACUAGCAAGAAAGCUACCGUCAAUGAGGCCCAGUGUGCGUGACUGCCAAGAAUAAAACAAAGAACUGGGCAAGCUACCAUAAAUUUCGGAUCACUUGUGAGACCCAUGAUGUCGAGAAGAUGCAGCGGUCCUAUCUGCACACCUAUACAGCAGCUAAGCGAGGCUCAGGCUGGGAACGGGAGAGAAUGAAGGGCAAGGCGAACAGGAAAUAAUCUGACUGUUCUGCUCCAAUAGUAGUGCUCAAGUGUGCCCCUCCCAUGAUGACACCGCAACAGUAUGGAGCACGGACUUGUUGCACUCUUUCCUCGCAUACUCUACGACCUGCCAUAGGAUUGGUGUACCUGUAUCAUUUUAUAUACCGCGACCAAUAAUAUACAUUUGCUGAUGUGAGCAGAGGGAAAGUAAGUGUGACUUAGGCCAUCAGGAUAAUAAUAAUAAAAAUACGGCUUGUUGAAUGCAACUCAUGAGAAAAGGAAGGUUGGAAGUUGUGUAACUUUCCUGCACAUUUCCGAUGAAAACCAGCAAUAGGCAUGCAUUUAGAAACACAGUAAAAUGGCCACACAUUAAUAGUGCCCUACUGGGCUACUGAAGUGGCUGAAUGUUGAACAAUGUAAAUGUAUAAACUUGAAAUAAAACGACAAAAAAAAAUGAAUACACUUAAGAUUGUAAAACAUUUCCUGGGGAUAGAUAUGCAAUACUAAAAGUGAAAAAUGCCACCAAGACACAAGAUAACAUUAUUUAGAAAAAUUAAAUCAUG